rnacentral:rRNA from 1 species
CUUAACACAUGCAAGUCGAGGGGCAGCAUGGUCUUAUCUUGCUAAGGCCGAUGGCGACCGGCGCACGGGUGAGUAACACGUAUCCAACCUGCCGUCUACUCUUGGACAGCCUUCUGAAAGGAAGAUUAAUACAAGAUGGCAUCAUGAGUCCGCAUGUUCACAUGAUUAAAGGUAUUCCGGUAGACGAUGGGGAUGCGUUCCAUUAGAUAGUAGGCGGGGUAACGGCCCACCUAGUCUUCGAUGGAUAGGGGUUCUGAGAGGAAGGUCCCCCACAUUGGAACUGAGACACGGUCCAAACUCCUACGGGAGGCAGCAGUGAGGAAUAUUGGUCAAUGGGCGAGAGCCUGAACCAGCCAAGUAGCGUGAAGGAUGACUGCCCUAUGGGUUGUAAACUUCUUUUAUAAAGGAAUAAAGUCGGGUAUGGAUACCCGUUUGCAUGUACUUUAUGAAUAAGGAUCGGCUAACUCCGUGCCAGCAGCCGCGGUAAUACGGAGGAUCCGAGCGUUAUCCGGAUUUAUUGGGUUUAAAGGGAGCGUAGAUGGAUGUUUAAGUCAGUUGUGAAAGUUUGCGGCUCAACCGUAAAAUUGCAGUUGAUACUGGAUAUCUUGAGUGCAGUUGAGGCAGGCGGAAUUCGUGGUGUAGCGGUGAAAUGCUUAGAUAUCACGAAGAACUCCGAUUGCGAAGGCAGCCUGCUAAGCUGCAACUGACAUUGAGGCUCGAAAGUGUGGGUAUCAAACAGGAUUAGAUACCCUGGUAGUCCACACGGUAAACGAUGAAUACUCGCUGUUUGCGAUAUACUGCAAGCGGCCAAGCGAAAGCGUUAAGUAUUCCACCUGGGGAGUACGCCGGCAACGGUGAAACUCAAAGGAAUUGACGGGGGCCCGCACAAGCGGAGGAACAUGUGGUUUAAUUCGAUGAUACGCGAGGAACCUUACCCGGGCUUAAAUUGCAGAUGAAUUACGGUGAAAGCCGUAAGCCGCAAGGCAUCUGUGAAGGUGCUGCAUGGUUGUCGUCAGCUCGUGCCGUGAGGUGUCGGCUUAAGUGCCAUAACGAGCGCAACCCUUGUUGUCAGUUACUAACAGGUUCCGCUGAGGACUCUGACAAGACUGCCAUCGUAAGAUGUGAGGAAGGUGGGGAUGACGUCAAAUCAGCACGGCCCUUACGUCCGGGGCUACACACGUGUUACAAUGGGGGGUACAGAGGGCCGCUACCACGCGAGUGGAUGCCAAUCCCCAAAACCUCUCUCAGUUCGGACUGGAGUCUGCAACCCGACUCCACGAAGCUGGAUUCGCUAGUAAUCGCGCAUCAGCCACGGCGCGGUGAAUACGUUCCCGGGUCUUGUACACACCGCCCGUCAAGCCAUGGGAGCCGGGGGUACCUGAAGUGCGUAACCGCGAGGAGCGCCCUAGGGUAAAACUGGUGACUGGGGCUAAGUC